rnacentral:rRNA from 1 species
AUUGAACGCUGGCGGCAGGCCUAACACAUGCAAGUCGAGCGGUUGACGGGAGCUUGCUCCCUGAUUCAGCGGCGGACGGGUGAGUAAUGCCUAGGAAUCUGCCUAUUAGUGGGGGACAACGUUUCGAAAGGAACGCUAAUACCGCAUACGUCCUACGGGAGAAAGCAGGGGACCUUCGGGCCUUGCGCUAAUAGAUGAGCCUAGGUCGGAUUAGCUUGUUGGUGAGGUAAUGGCUCACCAAGGCGACGAUCCGUAACUGGUCUGAGAGGAUGAUCAGUCACACUGGAACUGAGACACGGUCCAGACUCCUACGGGAGGCAGCAGUGGGGAAUAUUGGACAAUGGGCGAAAGCCUGAUCCAGCCAUGCCGCGUGUGUGAAGAAAGUCUUCGGAUUGUAAAGCACUCUAAGUUGGGAGGAAGGGUUGUAGAUUAAUACUCUGCAAUUUUGACGUUACCGACAGAAUAAGCACCGGCUAACUCUGUGCCAGCAGCCGCGGUAA